rnacentral:rRNA from 1 species
GACUGGAUAAACGCUGAAAGCAUCUAAGCGUGAAGCCAACCUCAAGAUGAGAUUUCCCAUAGCGUAAGCUAGUAAGACUCCUGGAAGAACACCAGGUUGAUAGGUCAGAGAUGUAAGCAUGGCAACACGUUAAGUUGACUGAUACUAAUAAGUCGAGGGCUUGACCAAAA